rnacentral:rRNA from 1 species
UACGUAGGGGGCAAGCGUUAUCCGGAUUUACUGGGUGUAAAGGGAGCGUAGACGGAAGGUCAAGUCAGGUGUGAAAGGCAUGGGCUCAACCCGUGGACUGCACUUGAAACUGGUCAUCUCGAGUGUCGGAGGGGCAGGCGGAAUUCCUGGUGUAGCGGUGAAAUGCGUAGAUAUCAGGAAGAACACCGGUGGCGAAGGCGGCCUGCUGGACGAUCACUGACGUUGAGGCUCGAAGGCGUGGGGAGCAAACAGGAUUAGGAUACCCUGGUA